UACGGAGGGUGCAAGCGUUAUCCGGAUUCACUGGGUUUAAAGGGUGCGUAGGCGGGCAGGUAAGUCAGUGGUGAAAUCUCCGAGCUUAACUCGGAAACUGCCUUUGAUACUAUCUGUCUUGAAUAUUGUGGAGGUAAGCGGAAUAUGUCAUGUAGCGGUGAAAUGCUUAGAGAUGACAUAGAGCACCUAUUGCGAAGGCAGCUUACUACGCAUAUAUUGACGCUGAGGCACGAAAGCGUGGGGAUCAAACAGG
rnacentral:rRNA from 1 species